UCUCCGUUGGUGAACCAGCGGAGGGAUCAUUACCGAGUUUACAACCCCCAAACCCCUAUGUGAACGUUACCAAACUGUUGCCUCGGCGGGAAAUUCAUGCCCCGGGCGCGUCGCAGCCCCGGACCAAGGCGCCCGCCGGAGGACCAACCAAAACUCUUUUGUAUGUCCCUCGCGGACUUUUAUAAUCCUGAACCAUCUCGGCGCCCCUAGCGGGCGUUUCGAAAAUGAAUCAAAACUUUCAACAACGGACCUCUUGGUUCUGGCAUCGAUGAAAACGCAGC
rnacentral:misc_RNA from 1 species